CCUACGGGAGGCAGCAGUGGGGAAUUUUGGACAAUGGGCGAAAGCCUGAUCCAGCAAUGCCGCGUGCAGGAUGAAGGCCNUCGGGUUGUAAACUGCUUUUGUACGGAACGAAAAGCUNUGGGNUAAUAUCCCGGAGUCAUGACGGUACCGUAAGAAUAAGCACCGGCUAACUACGUGCCAGCAGCCGCGGUAAUACGUAGGGUGCAAGCGUUAAUCGGAAUUACUGGGCGUAAAGCGUGCGCAGGCGGUUAUGUAAGACAGAGGUGAAAUCCCCGGGCUCAACCUGGGAACUGCCUUUGUGACUGCAUGGCUAGAGUACGGUAGAGGGGGAUGGAAUUCCGCGUGUAGCAGUGAAAUGCGUAGAUAUGCGGAGGAACACCGAUGGCGAAGGCAAUCCCCUGGACCUGUACUGACGCUCAUGCACGAAAGCGUGGGGAGCAAACAGGAUUAGAUACCCUGGUAGUCCACGCCCUAAACGAUGUCAACUGGUUGUUGGGUCUUAACUGACUCAGUAACGAAGCUAACGCGUGAAGUUGACCGCCUGGGGAGUACGGCCGCAAGGUUGAAACUC
rnacentral:rRNA from 1 species